ACCAUGGUCCGCACGAUGACCGAAGGCAUCGUGAAUAGGUUUUUGAGGUCCGCGAAGGCCGAGAUGCUUCAAAAGAACGAGACGGAGAUAAGAUGUCCGUGUCGAAGAUGCAAGCUGAAGAGCCUUAUUGCGGACCCGGAUUCCGGGCAGGUGUGGGACCACCUGCUGUUGCGUGGUUUCAUGGAUGGCUAUCGGUGGCAAGGUGAUGAAGAUGACUACGAAGUCGUCCAUGCGGGCCGGGCAAGAAAUGAGGAAGGGCAGCAAGACAACCACCGCGGCUCGGGCGGGCGAGAAGACGAAGAAUCCCCAAGAGAUGAUCACGACUGUGAUGCUGUACACAGUCAUCAUGUAGAAGAUGCAGGACAUGAUGAUGAGGAAGAUGCCGGAGCAGGCGACGGGCAUGAUCAUGAAGAUGAUGAUGCCGGCGGAGCAGACGACGCUGGACCAUCGAUGAGCUGGGUGCAGGACCCUCAUAUUCAAGAGCUGCUUCUCAAGCAGACGGAUAACGCAAGAGCUGCCGCCCGAGAGAAAGCCAAGAUGGAUCAACUUGAGUUAGACGCGGUUACUCCAUUGUAUGAAGGAUGCAGGCCCGAGGAUACCCGCCUGAAAGUAACGCUCAUGGCCCUAGAGAUGAAGGUAAAACACAAAAUGACCGACGCAAGCUUCGACGAGAACAUGUCAUUCUGGCACGAACGUCUUCCCAAGGGGAACAAGUGCCCGACCAGUUUGGAGGAGGCGAAGAAAAUCGUGUGUCCUCUGGAUUUACCGCACGUGAAAUACCAUGUGUGCAUGAACAAUUGCAUCAUUUAUCGGGACGAGCACGCGGAGUCUACAAUAUGUCCGGUGUGCGGUGUCACUCGAUACAAGAAGAGGAAGAAAGCUCCUCGAAAAGUGGUGUGGUACUUUCCGAUCACUCCUCGUCUACAGCGGUAUUUCGCGGAUCCUAAGGUAGCAAAGCUCCUACGUUGGCACGCGGAUAGGGAG
rnacentral:rRNA from 1 species